AACGAACGCUGGCGGCAGGCCUAACACAUGCAAGUCGAGCGCCCCGCAAGGGGAGCGGCGGACGGGUGAGUAACGCGUGGGAACGUACCCUUUGCUACGGAAUAGCCUCGGGAAACUGGGAGUAAUACCGUAUGUGCCCUUCGGGGGAAAGAUUUAUCGGCAAAGGAUCGGCCCGCGUUGGAUUAGGUAGUUGGUGGGGUAAUGGCCUACCAAGCCGACGAUCCAUAGCUGGUUUGAGAGGAUGAUCAGCCACACUGGGACUGAGACACGGCCCAGACUCCUACGGGAGGCAGCAGUGGGGAAUCUUAGACAAUGGGCGCAAGCCUGAUCUAGCCAUGCCGCGUGAGCGAUGAAGGCCUUAGGGUUGUAAAGCUCUUUCAGUGGGGAAGAUAAUGACUGUACCCACAGAAGAAGCCCCGGCUAACUCCGUG
rnacentral:rRNA from 1 species